GNAUUGCCANUGGGCGAAAGCCUGAUGCAGCGACGCCGCGUGAGUGAUGAAGGACUUCGGUUUGUAAAGCUCUGUUGUUAGGGAAUAAAAAAAUGAAUGUACCUGACGAGAAAGGACCGGCUAACUUCGUGCCAGCAGCCGCGGUAAUACGAGGGGUCCAAGCGUUGUUCGGAAUCAUUGGGCGUAAAGCGAGUGCGGGUGGCUUCUUAAGUCAGGAGUGAAAUCCCAGGGCUCAACCCUGGAAGUGCUUUUGAUACUGGGAAGCUUGAGUGUGGGAGAGGGUCCUAGAAUACCUAAUGUAGUGGUGAAAUACGUAGAUAUUAGGUGGAACACCGGUGGCGAAGGCGGGGACCUGGCCCAACACUGACACUUAGACUCGAAAGCGUGGGGAUCAAACAGGAUUAGAUACCCUGGUAGUCCACGCCGUAAACGAUGAAUACUUGGUGUUGGAGGUAUUGACCCCUUCAGUGCCGAAGCUAACGCGUUAAGUAUUCCGCCUGGGAAGUACGGUCGCAAGAUUAAAACUCAAAAAAAUUGACGGA
rnacentral:rRNA from 1 species